ensembl:processed_transcript 9130024F11Rik RIKEN cDNA 9130024F11 gene
GUCAGAGAUCUACCAGGAGAAGCAAACACACUAGGCACACCUUCCAAAGCAAGAGAUCCGCGCCUUAUAAAGGUUCACAGAGGAGUCCAGCAGACCUGGCCAUGGAUACCUGCGGCUCUACCGUCUGAUUUCCUUAUGCACACAAUGGAAGACACAAUUCAACUCCAUCAGAGGAAAAUGCUGGCCCAAAGACUCAUGCAUGCAAAGAGAUUAUUAUGUACCUGAUUAAUGUUUUAAUUGCAUGUGUACAACUAUACCAUGUGUAUGCAGUAUCUUCAGAAGUGGACACAGGAUCUCCUGGAACUAGAGUUACAGAUGAUUGUGAGCCACCGUCUUACAUUGGGAAAUGAACCCAGUCCCUCUGCAAGAGCCUUCACCCCAGAGGCGCCUCUUCAGUUCCUGAUUUUGCUUUUAAUUUGCAUUUCUAUAAUAACUUAUUUAUUUGGA